rnacentral:rRNA from 1 species
UACGUAGGGGGGCAAGCGUUGUCCGGAAUCAUUGGGCGUAAAGCGCGUGUAGGCGGCCUGAUAAGUCCGCUGUGAAAGUCCAGGGCUCAACCCUGGGAUGCCGGUGGAUACUGUCGGGCUCGAGUCCGGAAGAGGCGAGUGGAAUUCCUGGUGUAGCGGUGAAAUGCGCAGAUAUCAGGAGGAACACCAAUGGCGAAGGCAGCUCGCUGGGACGUGACUGACGCUGAGACGCGAAAGCGUGGGGAGCAAACAGG